UACGUAGGCAGCAAGCGUUGUUCGGAGUUACUGGGCGUAAAGGGUGCGUAGGCGGCUUUUUAAGUUUGGUGUGAAAUCUCCCGGCUCAACUGGGAGGGUGCGCCGAAUACUGAGAGGCUAGAGUGUGGGAGAGGAAAGUGGAAUUCCUGGUGUAGCGGUGAGAUGCGUAGAUAUCAGGAGGAACACCGGUGGUGUAAACGGCUUUCUGGACCAUAACUGACGCUGAGGCACGAAAGCGUGGGUAGCAAACAGG
rnacentral:rRNA from 1 species